CUUGUUCUUUAAAUGGGGACUCGUAUCAACGGCACUACGAGGGCUAUACUGUCUCCUUUUUCUAAUCAGUGAAACUGAUCUCCCCGUGAAGAAGCGGGGAUUAAAAUAUAAGACGAGAAGACCCCAUGGAGCUUUAAACUCACCAUGCACCUCUGUGCCCCCCAUAUCCUUAAACACAACGGACCUGCAUGCUAGUUUUAGGUUGGGGUGACCACGGAGUACAACUUAACCUCCACAGCAAAUGGGCUAAUACCCUUAUCCACGAGACACAACUCUAAGAAUUAUUAUACUAAUGCUUAUUGACCCGAUAUUCGAUCAAUGAACCAAGUUACCCUGGGGAUAACAGCGCAAUCUACUUCAAGAGCCCAUAUCGACAAGUAG
rnacentral:rRNA from 1 species